rnacentral:rRNA from 1 species
AGUGAACGCUGGCGGUAGGCCUAACACAUGCAAGUCGAACGGCAGCACAGUAAGAGCUUGCUCUUACGGGUGGCGAGUGGCGGACGGGUGAGGAAUACAUCGGAAUCUACUUUUUCGUGGGGGAUAACGUAGGGAAACUUACGCUAAUACCGCAUACGACCUACGGGUGAAAGCAGGGGAUCUUCGGACCUUGCGCGAUUGAAUGAGCCGAUGUCGGAUUAGCUAGUUGGCGGGGUAAAGGCCCACCAAGGCGACGAUCCGUAGCUGAUCUGAGAGGAUGAGCGGCAACACUGGAACUGAGACACGGUCCAGAGUCCUACGGGAGGCAGCAGUAGGGAAUCUUGCGCAAUGGGCGAAAGCUUGACGGAGCAACGCCGCGUGAGUGAGGAAGGCCUUCGGAUAGUAAAACUCUGUCAUGAGGGAAGAAAAAAAGUGUAAGUACAUACGCACGUAUUGACGGUACCUAAUAAGAAAGCAAAGGCUAACUACGUG